UUGAAUCUCACAGAUAUAACAGAACGUUUGGAGACGUUGGUAGUUAUAUUUGCAUGAUACACUGAUUGCUUCAUGGAGAUUGACCUUUCUCUGCUCUUCGGAGUCGCACACAUGUAUCUAGUUCCACCCGAAUCCACAUAUAUGCUCCGACUCUCGAGUUCUUGUGAUUAUUCUUGUCAUAAUCCCGAAACUUCCCUGCAAAAUUUCCUAGGAAUUCACCCACCUCCUCGGAGAAAUAUCCACGUGGAAGAUCGUUAAUUUGGAUCCAGAACGGAACAUGGUGCAACUCCACUUCUUUCGGAUCCUCCCCAGCAAGGAGUUCGUGCAGGAUCACCAAGCUUCUAUGA
rnacentral:lncRNA from 1 species